UACGUAGGGGGCGAGCGUUGCCCGGAAUCAUUGGGCGUAAAGGGCGCGCAGGCGGCCUGAUUAGUCGUGGGUGAAAUCGUUCGGCUCAACCGAGCGGGGUCCUGCGAAACGGUCGGGCUGGAGCAAGGCAGGGGGUCGUGGAAUUCCCGGUGUAGUGGUGGAAUGCGUAGAGAUCGGGAGGAACACCAGUGGCGAAGGCGGCGACCUGGGCCUGUGCUGACGCUGAGGCGCGAAAGCCAGGGGAGCGAACGGG
rnacentral:rRNA from 1 species